UCCCUGGCAGUCCAGUGAUUAAGACUCUGCACUUCCACUUCAGAGGGCACAGGUUCGAUUCCUGGCUGGGUAA
rnacentral:tRNA from 1 species